AUGAAAGAUCCAACAAGGAAGCCACAACGGUCAAAUGAUCCGGGAUGGAACUAUGGAUAUUGGUCUGAGCCUCCAAAUCGGGAUCUUGUUGUGUGCGCUCUUUGUGGUAAGAUAAUUUCUGGAGGGAUCAAGAGGCAUAAAGAGCAUCUUGCGGGCGUCGGGGGAGAUGCAAUUGGUUGUCCUAAGGCCACCACACAAUUGAGGAGAGAAAUGGGAACAUAUUUGGAGCAAAAUAGGAGGAUCAAGGGAGUAGUAGAUGUAGAUGAUGUUCAGGAGGUUGUGGAGGUGAGUUCAGUUGGAGCAAACAUUGCCUCUAAAAGGCCAAGCUCAGGGACAGCAGCCAAACAGAAUAAGAAAGUGUUUAUCACCAACAUGCAAGGUAAAAAGAAGUCUGUUUCUGUUGUGUCUGCCGCCAAUAGUUCCAAGCCAAUUGUUGCCAUGCUACGAAGAACACCCGAGGAUCUUGUAGAUGAAAGACGCUCUGGGUGUUCUCAAAGCACCAUGGAGUCCAGCACAAAGACUCCAGAAGAGAGGCAGUAUGUCAAUAUGCAGUGGGCAUUGUUCUUUUACGAGUGUGGCAUUCCAUUCAACGCUGCAAGUAGUAGGCAGUUUGAGGUUGCAAUUGAAGCCUCUUGUCAAUAUGGGUCAGGUUACAAGCCUCCUAGUGCACAUGAGCUGAGAGAGAAAUUGCUUAAUGAUUGUGUGAAGGAAACAGGACUUUUGAGGAGGCAACACGAGGCAGCAUGGAAAAAAUAUGGAUGCACACUCAUGUCGGAUGGCUGGUCGGAU
rnacentral:rRNA from 1 species